AGAAAGCACAACAAAGAGUUAGUAUUAGUGUCUAUACUACUGUUAUUUACAUCAGAACAACAUUUUUCACGCUGAGUAACUCCUAGGCUAAGCAGUAUUAAAAUGGCUGUCUCCUCUACUAUUUUACACUAGGAUUUGGUCCAGACAUGGGAUAUGGACUCAGACUUCCCUUUUCCCCUGGCGAUGGGUUAUAUUCUUGUAAUUGUUCCCUCCUGCUCUGGUGGUAAGGUAAGUUAAUUAUGCAGCUAAUGGUAACAUUGUGGCUCCUAACAUAGUUGGGUUUGAGUCUUAGCUGACUGAGACUAGCUGAGUAAAAUAAAACAAAACUACGUCAGUGAGAAACUUAUUUAUUUAAAAGCAUAGUUCUAUCAACUGUUUUCCCUUAAAGAUAAAAACUGGAAAAUUAAAAGUAGAAUGAAUAUAAACUGGCACUGAAAUAAACAUGAGAAGUUUUAUAAACAUAGGAAGUCACAAUGUAGAUUAUGAGGAGCUUGAGAAAAAAGAAAGUUUAAUAAAGACAAAAAAUGGAAGGUUUAAGAAAAGUCCUUAGAAGCCAUUCUGAUAAUUUCUUGCAUAGGAUGGAAGCUUAUAGUAUUUACAAGUAAGAAAGUUAUUGCUCCUAGAUGUCUGCAAAUAGAAAGAUGCUUUGAUGGUUAGGCAGAAACAUGAUUGUUUUAAAGGAUUAUUUAUAACCAUAUUUUAUCUUGAACAUUACCUAUAACACAGCAAAGAAGAAAAACAUUGUUUCACAGUUGAAUAGAAUGAAGCAGACGUGAACAUACCAGAUAUUUAGUAGAUUUCCUAAGUAUCUCUUUUCCUCUAUUUUUAGGCACUUCAACUACAUUUUAAUGUUGUACGAUCCAAAGCCUAGUGAAUUCAGCAGAAUUCUAUUUCUUCAUUUAACUUUGGAUCAAGACCUACAGGGGAGUUCUCUCUCUCUCUCUCUUUUUUUUUUUUUUUUUUUCCUGAGCAGCUGAAAUCAAUUGGAGGUUUUAUUUCUGUGGAAUCAGAGCCACAGAAACUUCAGAUUUUUAUAGGAAGAUAAAAACAUCUUAUAGCUGAAGUCUAGUGGACUUAGUAUCAUCUCAUGUGCUCAGAAAUCUCUUUAUCUUCCAGAUUCUGCCCUGUGUGUUUUGAAAUUUUCAUUAAUAAAAAUUAUGAAAAGAUUCUGGAAUGUUUAGUUUAUUUAUAUUUGGUAUAAUACAUUCUUUGAAUAAUAAUCAAUUUGAUGUACUAAAUAAGUUAAUGUCGCAGUUAUUACAGGUUAUUGGGGACGAACAGGAAUUCUUAUGGCAUGAUAUCUUUAAUAAAACUGUAUUACUGACCAGUAACUGAAUUUCCUUUUUUUUUUUUUUUUUUUUAGGGAGGGGAUGUUACCUCUUCCAUAGAUUCAUAAUCUUUAGAUAAAUAUAUGAGAACACCAUCUGAGACAUCAAAGAGCUGUUGAAGUUGUCAAAUUUCAGGUGCUUAAAAAUUGUGAAGGAAAAAUGGUAGUCAUGGAGAGCAGGAGAACAAAGACACAAACGACGAAUGCCAUAGAAAAUUAUGUGAAAAGAAGUUGCUUCAUUACUAGACUAUGCUUCUAUCUCUUUGAGUAAUCUCUACGGGCUUCAUUUAGCAAAGUGUUCUGACAUCAGAAACAUAAACUCUGUAUUGUGAGUAGUGCUUUUUUUUUUUUUUUUUUUAA